AUUUGAACAUUUUCCACACAACGUACAAUGUAUAAACAUCAGGCCUAUACUGGGUCGCUGUGUGGAUGGGCAGUUGGUCAGGUUUCCUGGUCGCUGUGUGGAUGGGCAGUUGGUCAGGUUUCCUGGUCGCUGUGUGGAUGGGCAGUUGGCCAGGUUUCCUGGUCGCUGUGUGGAUGGGCAGUUGGGCAGUUGGGCAGGUUUCCUGGUCGCUGUGUGGAUGGGCAGUUGGGCAGGUUUCCUGGUCGCUGUGUGGUUGGGCAGUUGGUCAGGUUUCCUGGUCGCUGUGUGGAUGGGCAGUUGGUCAGGUUUCCUGGUCGCUGUGUGGAUGGGCAGUUGGCCAGGUUUCCUGGUCGCUGUGUCGAUGGGCAGUUGGUCAGGUUUUCUG
rnacentral:lncRNA from 1 species